rnacentral:rRNA from 1 species
GACGAACGCUGGCGGCGUGCUUAACACAUGCAAGUCGAACGGUGAACGAGGGAGCUUGCUCCCUCCGGAUCAGUGGCGAACGGGUGAGUAACACGUGAGCAAUCUGCCCCGAACUCUGGGAUAAGCGUUGGAAACGACGUCUAAUACCGGAUACGACGCGGGAGGGCAUCCUCUCCGCGUGGAAAGAACUUCGGUUCGGGAUGAGCUCGCGGCCUAUCAGCUUGUUGGUGAGGUAACGGCUCACCAAGGCGACGACGGGUAGCCGGCCUGAGAGGGUGACCGGCCACACUGGGACUGAGACACGGCCCAGACUCCUACGGGAGGCAGCAGUGGGGAAUAUUGCACAAUGGGCGCAAGCCUGAUGCAGCAACGCCGCGUGAGGGACGACGGCCUUCGGGCUGUAAACCUCUUUUAGCAGGGAAGAAGCGAAAGUGACGGUACCUGCAGAAAAAGCACCGGCUAACUACGU